UACGUAGGGGGCAAGCGUUAUCCGGAUUUACUGGGUGUAAAGGGGGCGCAGACGGCAAUGCAAGCCAGAUGUGAAAGCCCGGGGCUCAACCCCGGGACUGCAUUUGGAACUGUAUGGCUGGAGUGUCGGAGAGGCAGGCGGAAUUCCUAGUGUAGCGGUGAAAUGCGUAGAUAUUAGGAGGAACACCAGUGGCGAAGGCGGCCUGCUGGACGAUGACUGACGUUGAGGCUCGAAAGCGUGGGGAGCAAACAGG
rnacentral:rRNA from 1 species